UACGUAGGGGGCAAGCGUUGUCCGGAAUCAUUGGGCGUAAAGCGCGUGUAGGCGGCCCGAUAAGUCCGCUGUGAAAGUCCAGGGCUCAACCCUGGGAUGCCGGUGGAUACUGUCGGGCUCGAGUCCGGAAGAGGGAUGCAGAAUUCCAGGUGUAGCGGUGAAAUGCGUAGAUAUCUGGAGGAAUACCGGUGGCGAAGGCGGCAUCCUGGACCGGCAUUGACGCUGAGGAGCGAAAGCCAGGGGAGCAAACGGG
rnacentral:rRNA from 1 species